rnacentral:rRNA from 1 species
GACGAACGCUGGCGGCGUGCUUAACACAUGCAAGUCGAACGGAAAGGCCCUGCGUUUGUGGGGUGCUCGAGUGGCGAACGGGUGAGUAACACGUGAGUAACCUGCCCUUGACUUUGUGAUAACUUCAGGAAACUGGGGCUAAUACCGGAUAGGAGCUCCUGCUGCAUGGUGGGGGUUGGAAAGUUUCGGCGGUUGGGGAUGGACUCGCGGCUUAUCAGCUUGUUGGUGGGGUAGUGGCUUACCAAGGCUUUGACGGGUAGCCGGCCUGAGAGGGUGACCGGCCACAAUAGGACUGCGGUACGGACCAGACUCCAACGGGAGGCAGCAGUGGGGAAUAUUGCACAAUGGGCGGAAGCGUGAUGCAGAAACGCCGCGUGCGGGAUGACGGCCUUCGGGUUGUAAACCGCUUUCGCAUGUGACGAAGCGUGAGUGACGGUAAUGGGUAAAGAAGCACCGGCUAACUACGUG